UAUAAGUUGUUUUGACUGUUUUUGACGAGU
rnacentral:piRNA from 1 species